GACUCGGUAAGACCAGAGACGCAAACGUUAAUCAUCUUAAACAGGCGUAAAGGGUUUGUAGGCAGCUUUCAUGAUAUUAUUUCUUACAAAAAUAAAGAAGUGGUCUGAUUGAAAGCUAGAAUCAAAAAGAGGUUAUAGUGUAUAACGCCUAGAGGAGGGCUGAUAUCCUUAGAUCCUAGGCAGAAUACUUAGGGCGAAGGCCACUCUCCACUAAUGAUUGACGCUGAGAAACGAAGGUAAGGGUAGGAAAUAGGAUUAGAUACCCCGGUACUCCUUUCUGUAAACGAUGAAUGGUAGUCAUUAGUAAAAUUAAAAAUUACUAGAGACGAAGUUAACACAAUAACCAUUCCGCCUUGUGAGUACUACUGCAAAGUAGAAAACAAAAAAAUUAGUCGGUCUCGAAGCAAACGGAGUGAAGCAUGUUAUUUAAUACGAUAAUCCGCGUAAAACCUUACCAGAACUUGCAUACAAACUAUCUUUUUAUUUACUUUGUAAUAACAAGGCAAAUAAAAGGGUGGGAGUAUUUUAUACUUUUUUUUUAAAUACUUAAGUACAGGUGU
rnacentral:rRNA from 1 species